GACGAACGCUGGCGGCGUGCUUAACACAUGCAAGUCGAACGGUAAGGCCCUUCGGGGUACACGAGUGGCGAACGGGUGAGUAACACGUGGGUGAUCUGCCCUGCACUUCGGGAUAAGCCUGGGAAACUGGGUCUAAUACCGGAUAGGACCACUGCCUGCAUGGGUGGUGGUGGAAAGCUUUUGCGGUGUGGGAUGGGCCCGCGGCCUAUCAGCUUGUUGGUGGGGUGAUGGCCUACCAAGGCGACGACGGGUAGCCGGCCUGAGAGGGUGACCGGCCACACUGGGACUGAGAUACGGCACAGACUCCUACGGGAGGCAGCAGUGGGGAAUAUGGCACAAUGGGCGCAAGCCUGAUGCAGCGACGCCGCGUGAGGGAUGACGGCCUUCGGGUUGUAAACCUCUUUCAGCACCGACGAAGCGCAAGUGACGGUAGGUGCAGAAGAAGGACCGGCCAACUACGUGCCAGCCGCCGCCGUAA
rnacentral:rRNA from 1 species